rnacentral:rRNA from 1 species
GUCCCAGUUCGGACUGUAGUCUGNAACCCGACUACACGAAGCCGGAAUCGCUAGUAAUCGCGGAUCAGAAUGCCGCGGUGAAUACGUUCCCGGGUCUUGUACACACCGCCCGUCACACCAUGGGAGUCGGAAAUGCCCGAAGUCAGUGACCCAACCGGAAGGAAGGAGCUGCCGAAGGUGGAGCCGGUAACUGGGGUGAAGUCGUAACAAGGUACC